UCCUCUCCUGCUGGGAGUCUGCCCUCUGCUCCAGCCUGCUGCUCAGUCUUUUCCCCUCUGCUACAAAGGGCAGGCCCUGCAGGACUUCUAACGGGAACGGCGUUCCUGCUGUAAAAAAGUGUGGGAACAUCGUCCUGCAGGACUCGAGCCCUGUUUAUGAUCAAUGAAUUCCACGAACUUAGCUGUAAUGGAAUUCACUAUACAUAUUAUAGGUCUAUUUGGUGGUCUUGUUAGAUG